rnacentral:rRNA from 1 species
AUGGCACAGCCGUACAGAGGACCCAAAGUCCCAUGCGUGCCGUGCACAGAUCAUCGUGGCCCUCGUAGCAUCACACAUUUCCACCACCCCGGGCACGCCGCGUCCCGCAUCACCUCGACACACACACAUGCACGUUACUUCCCCGCGGUCGCACCGCCGUCUACGGCACGCCGCGGCGCGCGCGCUGGCACCUGGGAGUCAGUCAGAGAGCGAUUCGAGGGACUGACGUGCUUCGAGGGAGGGACGGUCGCCUCGCCUGCUGGCGAUAAAGAAAGCGCCGCCCGGCGCGCGUACGGUGUCCCCUCGCCCCAGGACCGCGCGCCCGGGCCACGCGAACGCACAACGGACAUAGCAGCGCGCGCGCUGUCAUGGGGCGGCACGGCACCUCGCGCUCUCUUGCUCUGGCUCUCUGUACACGUGCGUGCGUGCGUGCGUGCAUGCAUGCUCCCGUCGCCGUCGUCGGACCACCGCGCGACCCCGCCGGCCCAACCACCCACUGGCGCACCGGUUCGCGUGCGGCCACGCCGGCCCCAAUCGACCAAACGCCCGCUGGUCCGCUCCGCGCGCGGGCGCACCUACGCAUCCUUUCUUUCAGCUUUCACGGGUCGUCGUCGGCGAACGACCGGCCAACAGUGUGCGCUGCGCACGCCUGCCAUGCAUGCUCGGCCGCCCUGA